rnacentral:lncRNA from 1 species
AGAAGGCACGUGUAAAGAAGCAUGCGCGAGCCAUCAGUGCCCCACAACUUCAAACUCCAUAACCACAGUCACGAUGCGAAGGCCACUUGUUCUCGCACAUUCCCUGCGAAGAGCAGGAACAGUCCACCUGGUUGUCUUGAAAUGCGCACACACCCCCUCCCAAAAAGCGGCAGCUAAACCCCUUCCACUCCCCAGAUUUACAGUUGCAGGCCCCUUUGCUUCUGCCUGAUGUCCUGUGGAGCACCUGCUACCACUUGGCCGGUCGGAUCGCGAGCACUGCGGCAGGCGCUGAUGCUGCUUCUGUUGCUAGCACAGCUCCACAGCGCCACGGCUGCAGCCUGAAGUUCUUCCUGGCCACCAGAUGGAGGCGCUGGGCAUACACCGCAUGGCAGGGCGGGGAAAGGGCCUUUUGUGAAGGGCAGGACUACGCUGCUGAGUGGCCCUCCCGGACGUGGGAUGGGCCACGACAGGCAAUCCCUCCCACCAUCCUGCAGUGGCGGGCACCAUUUUGUUUCAUGCCGCACUCCACAGUGAGGAGCCGCCAUUUUGUGAAAGGGCCCAACCCACUUGUUUCCGUACCGCUGCCUGAUUGGCUUAGCCAGCUUUGUUUUUAAAACCCUGUCAUCUUCUCAUUCCUCCCUCUGAUUGGCUGCCUGCUUCCAGACCGGGAAGGUCUCACGUGUAGGCAAUGUUUAUGUUUCUCUAGAGCCGUGCUGGGUGUUUGCCCACGUGCUGGCACCGGGGGCUGCUGGUGGCCUCUGAGAAGUAGCCGGUAUCGGCGCCAUGCAAUCUGGCAAGGCCGGUUCCAGCGGCACUGCCGCAGAGCAGGACAGAACUCAGCUGCCAAGAAGGCGGGGCCUCGGGAGAAAAGGUGCUACGAAAGGGCAGCCAAAAAGGGUAAAAUGCUGCUCAGCAGUGGGGAGCAAGGAGGAAAAAGUGUGAGAAACCGCUGUGCAAAGUGUAAGGUUAAACAUAGACUUAGGAAUGCCAUCCUGAGAUUUUUCCCGAGUCUGGGUAUUUGUGAGUGGCAGCAAGUGCGGGAGGAUAUGGAUUGGUAUCUAGAGCAGUGGAUAACUCCAGUGUUUUUGAAAUUCACCCCUGAACAACUGGAAAUUCCUAAAAAACUGGUAGAACACUUGAAAAAGGGAUGUCAUGACUCUGGCAAUUCCAAAGAGACACAAUUCGCUGUAGCGUGCCAUGGUCUGGCCUAUGCCUGUCGAGCUUCAAUCGAUGCUACUAUAACUCUAGUGACAGACCCUGUGGCCACUCCAAGUCCUGAGACAGGCCCGAUGGCCCCUGCAGCCCCUGCAGCCACUCCAACCCCUACAAUGGACCCUGCGGCCACUGCAGUCCCUGCAGUCACUCCAACCUCUGCAGCCACGUCAGCCCCUGUGGCCUCUCCAGCUCCUGUGGCUACUCCAGCCCCUGCAGCUUCUCCAGCCCCUGUGGCUACUGCAGCCCCUGUGGUUUCUUCAGCCCCUGCGGUCUUUCCAGCUCCCAUGGCUUCUCCAGCUCCUGUGGCCACUCCAGCUCCUGCGGCCAGUCCAACCCCUGUGAUUGGCCCAGCGGUGGUUCCAGCUCCUGUGACAAGCCCAGCAGUCAUUCCAGCCCCUGUGGCAGGUCUUGUGGCUGGGGCAGAGAAAUGAACUGUAGCAGUGCAAACUGCCCCUGUAGACAUGGUGAAAAAAGUGGUAUAGAGAGUCAAAUUGUUUCGAAUGCAGAGAAACUCCUGCUAAGACUAAGUAUAGAAAAGACAAGGCCGGACCAUCAGAGGAACAGGAGGAUGAAGAUGAAUAUGUCAAAUAAGCAACAGUAACUACCCAAAACCCAUACCGGUGUGAGCUACGAGAUGUGCGAAAAGAUUUUGGUCGCUGUAUAGGUGAGCAGCUUGUCAGCUGGCUGCUCCGGUGCUGGGACACUGGAGCCAGUUGUCUGGAAUUAGAGGGUACGGAAGCCAGGCGGCUGGGAUCCCUUGCUAGAGAUGCAGACAUUGACAAAGCAGUUGAAGAUGGAGCACCACCUUUCAGCCUCUGGAGGCGCCUCCUGUCAGCUGUGAAGGAAAGAUACCCCUUCAAGGAAGAACUCCUAUGUCUACCAGGCAAGUGGACCACUAUGGAGAAGGGAAUCCAGUACCUGAGAGAAUGAGCCAUACGAGAGGUGAUUUAUAGGGACCUAGACAAUGAACAAAUACCCACAGAUUCAGAUGAAGUCCAGUGUACACGACCCACGUGGCAGAAGCUUGUACAGAGUGCACCAUCAUCAUAUGCCAGCUCAUUGGCAGUAAUGGCCUGGGAAGAACAUGAGGAACCCACAGUGGAUGAAGUGACUGAGCAACUCUGGCAGUACAAAGAAAGUCUCUCCUCUUUCCUACACACCUGCAUCUCAGCUGUGGAGAAACUUUCUGAAAAGUUUUACCAACUUAAAGAGAAUUUAUUCUCCUCCCCACCUGUACAAAGCAGUCUCCACCAACUAAAAGAGAAUACUUUGGAGAAAUUUUCUGAAGAGGUCCACCAAUUCAAAGAGAGUUUAUUUUCCUCCCCACCUGUACAAACCAGUGUCAGCUAUCAGGGGUAAGCAUCCAUCCAUGCAAGGAAGACGAUAAAGCGUGUACACACCCCUUGCCCCCCUGUGGUUUUACCUACGUGACCAUGGAGAGGACAUGAGAAAAUGGGAUAGAAAAUCUACCUCAACCCUAGACGCACAG